rnacentral:lncRNA from 1 species
GAGAAAGUUAGGCGGGGGAGUUUGUGCGGUCCGACAUUUUGGCUUUGCCUGUCCUGCAUUGAGGGAAGGAGAAUUGUCCGAAUCCGCACAUCAAAUAUGUAGUCAAUGUGCAUAAGUAACAAAAGAUUUAUUUUUUUAUUUUUAAAUUAAAGCAUAAAAGAAAGAGGGCUACAAAAACACGAAACUAGCAGGAUGAGGUUUAAAAUCCUAUCUCCCUUUGCCUUCUGCUUCUAGCUCUGCUUGAGUUGCCCUAGAUCUUUGCAGAACUGUUAAGCCCUCAGUGCUAGGGAACAAGGAGCCUACCAAAUCCCUCUGGUGUGUGCUGAGGCUCACUGAGGUGCCUGGCAGGUGCUGCUGAGGCGCGUGCUGCUGUCCAGCAUAAGGACAGUUGCACAGCACACUGUCUGAGGGCAGCUGCCUUGCAAAGUGGCGGAGGGUAUGGCGAAAGUGGCAUGGCGGAACGAAGUACCAGGCCACACUGGAGCAGGAACUUCGAGGGAAGCCUGAAAGGACGAGCUGUGGAAACAAAGCUUGUAAGUCUGCCAGACAUGCUGUACUUGGAGCAUAAGGAGGUUUAUGACAGUUGUUCCCAUCCACGUAGCUACUUGGCAUGCCACAGAGUAAAGUCCAUCCCCUGGUUUUCCUGUAGGGCAUGGCCAGCUUUGUCUUGCUGUGGCAUAGUAGAAGCCUAACAGUUGGAAGCAGAUAAAAAAUAAGGAUGGACAAUGUGUUGUAUAGUGAGCAACAGAAACAAUGGCAAAAUUCAGUCUCAAGGUCCAGUGAAUGGCUGCAUACUUCAAAGACUCUGGGAAUUUCAGACAACAACCAAGUACGUUCUAGU